rnacentral:rRNA from 1 species
GUAGCCGGCCUGANAGGGCGACCGGCCACACUGGGACUGAGACACGGCCCAGACUCCUACGGGAGGCAGCAGUGGGGAAUAUUGCGCAAUGGGCGGAAGCCUGACGCAGCGACGCCGCGUGGGGGAUGACGGCCUUCGGGUUGUAAACCUCUUUCGCCAGGGACGAAGAGUGAUUGACGGUACCUGGAGAAGAAGCACCGGCCAACUACGUGCCAGCAGCCGCGGUAACACGUAGGGUGCGAGCGUUGUCCGGAAUUAUUGGGCGUAAAGAGCUCGUAGGCGGUGUGUCGCGUCGGCCGUGAAAACUUGGGGCUUAACUCUGAGCGUGCGGUCGAUACGGGCAUCACUUGAGUUCGGCAGGGGAGACUGGAAUUCCUGGUGUAGCGGUGAAAUGCGCAGAUAUCAGGAGGAACACCGGUGGCGAAGGCGGGUCUCUGGGCCGAUACUGACGCUGAGGAGCGAAAGCGUGGGGAGCGAACAGGAUUAGAUACCCUGGUAGUCCACGCCGUAAACGUUGGGCGCUAGGUGUGGGGACCAUUCCACGGUUUCUGUGCCGCAGCUAACGCAUUAAGCGCCCCGCCUGGGGNNGUACGGA